GGGGGAACUGAAACAUCUAAGUACCCCGAGGAAAAGAAAUCAACCGAGAUUCCCCCAGUAGCGGCGAGCGAACGGGGAGGAGCCCAGAGCCUGAAUCAGUGUGUGUGUUAGUGGAAGCGUCUGGAAAGGCGCGCGAUACAGGGUGACAGCCCCGUACACAAAAAUGCACAUAUUGUGAGCUCGAUGAGUAGGGCGGGACACGUGGUAUCCUGUCUGAAUAUGGGGGGACCAUCCUCCAAGGCUAAAUACUCCUGACUGACCGAUAGUGAACCAGUACCGUGAGGGAAAGGCGAAAAGAACCCCGGCGAGGGGAGUGAAAAAGAACCUGAAACCGUGUACGUACAAGCAGUGGGAGCCUCUUAAUGGGGUGACUGCGUACCUUUUGUAUAAUGGGUCAGCGACUUAUAUUCUGUAGCAAGGUUAACCGAAUAGGGGAGCCGAAGGGAAACCGAGUCUUAACUGGGCGUUAAGUUGCAGGGUAUAGACCCGAAACCCGGUGAUCUAGCCAUGGGCAGGUUGAAGGUUGGGUAACACUAACUGGAGGACCGAACCGACUAAUGUUGAAAAAUUAGCGGAUGACUUGUGGCUGGGGGUGAAAGGCCAAUCAAACCGGGAGAUAGCUGGUUCUCCCCGAAAGCUAUUUAGGUAGCGCCUCGUGAAUUCAUCUCCGGGGGUAGAGCACUGUUUCGGCAAGGGGGUCAUCCCGACUUACCAACCCGAUGCAAACUGCGAAUACCGGAGAAUGUUAUCACGGGAGACACACGGCGGGUGCUAACGUCCGUCGUGAAGAGGGAAACAACCCAGACCGCCAGCUAAGGUCCCAAAGUCAUGGUUAAGUGGGAAACGAUGUGGGAAGGCCCAGACAGCCAGGAUGUUGGCUUAGAAGCAGCCAUCAUUUAAAGAAAGCGUAAUAGCUCACUGGUCGAGUCGGCCUGCGCGGAAGAUGUAACGGGGCUAAACCAUG
rnacentral:rRNA from 1 species